rnacentral:rRNA from 1 species
UACGUAGGGUGCAAGCGUUAAUCGGAAUUACUGGGCGUAAAGCGUGCGCAGGCGGUUCGCUAAGACAGAUGUGAAAUCCCCGGGCUUAACCUGGGAACUGCAUUUGUGACUGGCGGGCUAGAGUAUGGCAGAGGGGGGGUGGAAUUCCACGUGUAGCAGUGAAAUGCGUAGAUAUGUGGAGGAACACCGAUGGCGAAGGCAGCCCCCUGGGUUAACACUGACGCUCAUGCACGAAAGCGUGGGGAGCAAACAGG